GAAAUUUAGAAGGUAAAGCAAGCCAAAUUCUGAGUAUCUUUCCUGUAGGCUGUUUCUCAUGGACCUCAAGCAAAAUCAAAACCAGGUGGCUUGCAGGCAGCCCACACGUGAAAAUGUUUCUUAGAGUUCCUGAGUCAUGGGCCAUGGAUGUUGUCAGAUGAAGUCGGAAGGCUGCAACAGCCAUCUGCUGGCCGGUCAUAUUGUUGAACUCAAUGGCCCUGGCUCCGUCACCGAGCUUCCUAGCUAGACUACCUCCUGGUGGUCUGCACAUCUUUUAUCAAGAAUCAACAGAGCCGCGAACACCAGGCAGACAGAUAAGGAACACACACCCCAUUAACUCCCGUUAGGGUUGAUCCUCCACUUUUUAUAAAGUAGAACUCAUCAGGCAGUGUUUCCUAGGCUUUGGCAUGUAUCGGAUUGCUGGAUGGGCUUGUCAAACAGAGUGCUGGGUCUCUCCCCAGAGUUUCUGAUCUGGUCAGUCUGGAGAGGGAUCUGAGAAUCCGCAUUUCUAGCAAGUUUCCAGGAGAUGCUGCUGCUCUGGUUCACUGUCAUCCAGCCAUUUAUUAUGUUAGGUAUAAAUAAAACAAGAAGAGAGCUCUAUUAUCAUAUAUUUUUUUCCCUUCACAUUUGACUAAAAAUUCCUGAGUUUUUAUUUCUGACAAAGUUCUAAGUCGGAGCUGCCUGUAGUCACCUUUUUAUAUAGAUUCCUCUAGAUCAUUGCUGCUGGGUGAUACACCUAUCCCCACCCUCUCACUCUGAGAAUUGCAAAUAAAUUAAUGUUCCUAUUUAGAA
ensembl:lncRNA